CCGAACAGCCAGUCAGUCGUUGUCCACCCGAAAGGCAACAUUUAAUUUUAAUUUUAAGUCUUAUUAAACUAAUACGCGAACCAUUCGAAGUUAAGUCAUACCUAUUUUUAAUAGUCACAAAUCACGCGUGCCGUAAACGAAGCUGGAUAGAAAAAUAAAAUCACGCAUCAAUCUGAUCCUUGUGCAAAGCAACACACGAAAACGGAAACGAACACAAAAUAAAAUACCAUGUGCUGUGACAGGAGAAAUUACUCGCACGAAUCAUAAUUUUCAAAUUGUUCAAAUUUUAUACCAAGCAUUACCGAAUCUCAUUCACCAGUUCUAAGAAGAGCUGUUUAGCGAAUUUUUUAUUGAAAAAAAACACAUCGAAUUAAGUUACGCCAUUCAAACGUGCGAAAGUGUGAAAACCGAAGUUGUGUGACCCUUCUGUGGGGGAGUGAAACAAAAAAAAAAAACAGAAGCUAGUCUAAUCAAAUAUAUUCGAUCAAAGGGAACAGAAAAAAAAAUACAGAAUACAGUUUUCGUGCCGCCUGUGACACAGAAGUGCGGUCAGAGCAACAGUUGUGUGUGCGCGGAAAGUGUCACAAAAAUAGAGAGAGAGAGAGAGAGAGAGAGAGAGAGCGCACCGGCGGACAAGUGUGAAAUGAUCUGAUGCGGCAUAUGCUGAUUAUGUACUUCAUUGUAGUCUACUAAUCAUCAAGUGGCGCGCAACAUUAGCAUCAUUUUAACGAGCACCCACACAAUCCCGCGGUCGGUGACAACGAGCGAGGAGUUCUUAAUUUACAUACUGAUAUCGAAUAGAAGGCGGCAGUGAUAAACACAAAUUCGAAUAGUAUCGAAGGAAAAACUCUUAUAGAUAAAAGAUUGAACCUGCAAUCGAAACAAACGAACGAAAAACAGCAAAGUCAAAUAAUAUUUCCCUGAUCGGAGGAAAUUCGAAGAAAAGCACAAAAACUCAAAACUACGGAUCACAAGUGACUUGACUAACGUAAAAUUAAAAUUAAAUGUUAAAAUAAACCGAUCGAAGCAAGCAGCAAUAAUGGCAGACAGUGAGCAGCAUAAAAACAACAUCGGGGGAACUACCGAUAAUGUACCAACCGCAAAGACGGACCGGAAAAUAAUCAACCGGUCCCGGUGUGCCAGACAGAGCGAAAGUGACAGUGAAAAAGUGACCUUGUAUCUAAGUGCCCGAAAGGCCAGUGAAUAUCACAGCAAGCUGGCCAACAGUGUAGAAUACGACCAGGCGGCUGUGUCAAUUCGGAAGAGUACCAAUCUAGUCAAAUGUGACAGUGAUAAAGAAGUCAAUAUGCUCAAACGAAAGAAAGUGCCAUCGGUGAGUCAGCUGAGUGACGGUGAAGAUCGGGGACCUACUUACGCGUCGGUGCUGAAACAGUCGGACGCCGAGAAUAUCCAGCCAACGCCUACGGCCAGUGUCAGUGCCGUGGGAUUCUCCAGUAGCAAACGAAUAAAGAUAGAUCUGCAAGGUGGCGAGGGCAAACUAAUUGUCAGUAAACCACCCAUUCCACCGAAACCAGAUAGUGGCAGGUUAGCGCAGCAGCAACAACAUCAUCAACAACAACAGCAAGUGGGCGCGGGGAAGUCGAAGAAGCAUGUGAUCAGUGAGGCCCACAAUGCGUUGACCGUGCAGAAGCUGCUUGCUCAGAAUGAACAGAUGCGGCUGGAAAUAAAUGAGCUGCGGCUCAGUUUGGCCACGGAACGAAAUGCUGUGAGAGUUUUAAGGGCUCAAAACGAAUCCGAUCUUCGGCGGUCGAAGACCGAGUGCAAAAAACUACAGGAAGCUCUCUCACAUCAGAAGCGCAAUGUCGCUCCGGCGGCUUCUUCGGCGGCCAAACGAACAAAUCGAACGGCGGCUGGCGGUACCGCGGAUGACGUACACGCUGGCCAAACGGUUUCGAUUCACCAGCUGAAUCUGGACAUUCUCAAACUCAACCAGGAGCUUUCCGCUUUGCGUGAGACUAAUAAGUUUUUGGAGGAUAAAAUACAAAUUUCCUCAGAGGCUGAACGGCGGAAAGCUUCUGACAUGCGAGUGCAAAGGGACCUGUACGAACUGCGAUUGACUCAACUGACUAAGUCUGCCAGAAGCGAAAUUCAACGACUGCUGGAGGAGCUAAAAUCCAAAGACCGCAACAUUGGCCAUCUGCGGAAGGAGAUUUUAGCGCUGCAGAAGGCAGGAGGUUCCAGGAAGGAGAAAAAGACUGCUAAAAAUUCCGCUCAGCAAUCGCAAGAGAUGCGAAAACUGCAUGAGUCCGAAUCAUGUAGCGGAAACGUCAGCCAAAGUGACAGCCACAGUAGCAUCCGUUCGGUCUGCGAAGAAUUGGAACGACAGAACGAUGCUGAAGCUGACGCAGUUUUAGGACAGUCACUAAAUCCGCAAUGUUCUCCUUCGCCGGACUUCGUCAAACCUGACGGCAUCGGUCAAUCAACGAGUGACUAUUUUAAUUCUAGUAGAAACUGUAGUAGCUUAAGCAUAGACUUAGAAACGACGACGUGUGGCUAUGACGAACAUAGGUCAAUGCCACACGAAUCACGAACCAUGGAAGCUCACAACGAUUUGCACGCUUCUUCUAGUAGCAGUAGUAUUAGUAGUAGUAACAGUAGAAUAGAAAACACAACCGACCCAGUUCCGAUGAACGGCAGCACAUCACCGAGUAAAAUCGGAACGACUAGAAUCGACCAAAUCGGACCCCGGCAACUGUCGGUGACAUCGGAUGCCGAUUCGGCCAUAUCUUCGGCACCGCCGUCGCUCAGCCCACAGGCGACCGGCUGUCCGAAUUCUCCGGAAGUUUGGCGAGCCCAUCAUCAUCCGCAGGUAGCACUGCGCGACCAAAGCCAACUAGUCGAGAUCAAAAUGGAACUGGACCGGAUGCAGGCCAAGUACGACCUACUCAGCGCAGACUACGGUCGGGCCAAGGAGCAGAUCGAUGAACUCGAACGGGAAUUGGUGGAGGCUACCCAAGUAACACAGGAAAGAGCGAAAAUUGUUGAACGCUUGGACUACUUGGAGCAACGAGAGGAGAGUUUGUUGCGCGAGAGCCAUGAACUGCGCGAACAAAAUGAACUGCUCGAAUUUCGCAUCAUAGAACUGGAGGAGAGCCACGAUAAGUGGUCACUUCGCAGCAACCCGAGCCCAACGGUCGGUAGUAGCAACGGUAGCCACAGCACCAAGGACGUAUGGACCGACACGGACAAGGAGCAUGACGAUCUGAUUAUGCACUCGGAACGGUCGGAUUCGGGAGUUACGUCUCCGAACAGCCACCACCAUCUGGAUGACCACCGGACGAGCGGAGUGCCGUCGCCGUGCUGUGAUUUGUCACUGCUGGACCAGAUUCCAACGGACGACGUCCGGAAGCGCAUCAUCACCAUGUCCAAGCGGUCGUGUUACGACGAAGAGGACCGGGUGUGUCUGCUGCAGAUUCUGUCGCUGCUGAACAAUCUGGAGGCGUUGUCGCAGGAUCACGAGAUUAUCAGUGAGGAUUCGAGUCUGGAGAUGUCUGCGAAGUACAAUUAUCCCUUGCCGGAUAGUCAUCCGCCGAAAACGUUGGCGAUGAGUUCGACACCGUUCAAGAGCCAGCAAGGUAAAAUUGUGGCCACCGUGCAGCCCUUCAAUAGCACCGAACCAAAAAGUCUCUCGAUCGCAUCGAUUGCGGAAACUUUUGGCGGAAUGAAAAAGUCCGCCAAAUGGGGCUCGACCAGUCUGCAGGAGAGUGGAGUGUUCGUGGACGAAAUUUCGGUUAGUAAUAUCAGCACCCAAACGGAACUGGAGGACUUUCCCUGUUUGGAACGUACCAACGCCGAACUUUGCGCAGAGAUCGAGAAGCUGAACCGUUUCCGGAAGAAGAUCGAAGAGUGUUCGAUUAAGAGACGGGGCAAAAACCCGGUGGGAGUUAGUUUGUCUUUGCCGGCGGAAUCGUGUGAGAAACGACGCCUACAGUACUACGUGGAACGUUUGGAACAGUUGGAGAAUAAGAUUAAAGUUUACGAAAGUAGUGGUGAUCAGCAAAUUAGGCAGCUAGCGGAGAGGUUACAACGCGAGAUUCAACUGGAAGGUUGGGUGAAACUGUUGAAUGAACAGGUUAACAAGCUGGAAGACGACAAUGAGCGACUGGAAGAGGAGCGAUGUGAGCUGGAGGAAAUUGAGAACGAUACCAGGCUAAAGUUGCAACGACUGGAGGUGGAUUACGAGGUAAUGAGCCAACGGAACACGGAACUGGAGAUGUCCAAAAGUUCGUACCAAUCCAAGUACCAGGAUGCCAGGGAUAGUGCCGAAAGCUUAGAGGAGCUGGUGCACAAGUGUGAAGAAAGAAUAUUUGUCCUGGAGGAAACCGAAAACGAACUCAACGAUCGUAUCGAUCUCAUACUGGCGUUUAUUCCCGUGUUGUUGAUGUACAACAGCUGGCAACUGCAGGAACAGAUGGCGGCUUGUCGGAAAACAAUUUCGCUGAACCAAAUCCCACCGGAUAACAUUGAGUAUUACGAGUCUGCUAAUGAUGAUCUGCAAGCGAGACUCGGUGAGUUGUUAACUCGGGAGAAAGAACUUACGCAAAACAUUGCCGAACUAAAUCGUGCCUACAACGAAACCCUGGAGAAUGCGGACAAUCUGUGGGCUCAGAUGGAAAAAGAGUACAAAGAUAAAAUAUCCAAAUGUGAGAUGGUGGAGUCGAAUCUCAAAUCGAAGAUCACUCAACUGGAGGAGCGACUGAGCAAAGACAGUGACUAUGCUCACGAACGAAUCGUUCACUUGGAGGAAGCUGAAAACAAUCUGAAGAAUCGAGUGGCCAAGUUGAAUAAAGAUAACAAAGAACUGGUAGCGAAGCAUACGGCACUGUUGGAAGAGUACAGCACUCUGAAGGAAGAAUAUCUGAAGUUGCAAAACUAUCUGCGAGGUCCGGCUGUGGAAAACCUUGAAAAAGAAAAACGUAAAAUUGUUGCUCUAGAAGAGGAGCUCGCAUUGAGCACCCGACUGUUGAAGGAGGUAGAAGAAACGCACAAAACCGAAGUCGGUCAGAUGAGAGGUAAGCUGACGGGAGCGACGAAAGAGCUGAAUCACAUUGAGGUAACCAACAGUGAACUGCGGGAGGAGGUUGAAACAUUGGAAACCCGAAUCCGUGAGCUGCUAACCUUGCGAAAUGCCGAUGACGAACGGAUCAAACAUCUCACCGAGGAGCUGCAAGCCAAACAGGCUCAGAUUGGUCAACUGCAGUUGCAGGCUGCUACCGGCCAGACCAAAUCUGGUUACGCCCGAAGUCUCGCUCAGGAAUUGGAACGACCAGUUAAGGGGUGCUAUUCCAAGUUGGGCUACGAAAUUCACCCGCUCAAUCGAAGAUUCCCCGGGGAUAGCGGAGAUAGUAGCGGUAGUGAGGACAAGAUCAAAUUCCCGAUGUCGAGACCGGUCACGGAAACCAAAGAAGUGAAGAGCUUGGCCGAAACCAUUAUUCUGAACGCCGAAAGUCGAGGCAUUCGAACGCCAAAGAAAUCAUUUGUCGAGGAGGCUCGCAGCCGCUUCGCCCGUUGGGUGUAAUAGAAAUUGUAAAAAACAAAAAAUUGAUAUCUGGAAUAGCCGAGCAGCAGUCGGAAAAAAGGCAAGCAGCAACAAUCCCCCGUGUGGAUGUUUGAAACUACUAACAUGUGUGUAACUCUGGAAGGGUUUGGAUAUCGAUUAUCCCUGAACCAUUGCAUCAAUUUGGGUGGGUGGGAUAUAUGUACAGAAUGUGAUAAUCUAACGUGCCUUUGAAUCACUCAUGCGGACCUCACACGUCGAGAUUAGAACCAAUCAACCAACAGCACGGAGCACAAAUUACAGCCCGUUGGAUCCUAGUUGGCCAUUGGAUGUAGAGUUAGUUGUCAUUUGACGGUUUGACAGUUGCAACACAGCAACACAGCAGGCACCAUCCGUCGUCAGCAGAGCAAACAACAGAAAAAAACAAGAUUCUAGUCGAUUUGAUUAUACUUUUGUUUGUUAGGUUUUAGUGUCCCGUAAGCAUAUAUAUAUAGUUUUAGGUUUUGCAAAUCAUUAUGUACAGAGUUAGUACGUCGAAACACUUAUUUAAACAUGAAAUACGACACUAGUUACUAAUAGCGUAGAGAGCCACAAAAAACGAAACGACAACCUCUCGCCCCGUACUGCUCGGAACUUCGCCGACACAUGAGGGCGGGCGGGAGGCCAGUGUAACAAAUAGUUUCUUUUUGGAAAUUAUGUUUACUUCCCUCAUUCAGUUAUGCUAUGGUUUCGUUUAGAGCUACAGUUUCGUUUAUAUGAGUUGCCUUGAACUGCCCGAUUUGUACAACUAUUGGUUUUCAUCAUUAUUUCCCGGUAGAGAAUAAUUAUGUUAAGCUUGCACGAAUCCAUUCUGCGCACGUUUAAUUUGUUGUUUUGUAAAUACCCUAAGUUAGCGAACCACUUUGAGUAGUUUUCUAUUGAGUUAGUACAAUUUCUUUUAACCGCAUUUUUUGUAAGCAAAACAAUCCGAGCAUUGAAGAGCAGUAGAUCAUGGUUUUGUUUUUGUACUAUUUCAGUUUGUAUUUUGCAUCUGCGUCGCUCAUUAUCAUUUUAUCACAAAUGAAUCUCAUUUUCUUAAACUUUUUUUUUAUAUCAUCAA